GAUGAACGCUGGCGGCGUGCCUAAUACAUGCAAGUCGAGCGAACAGACGAGGAGCUUGCUCCUCUGACGUUAGCGGCGGACGGGUGAGUAACACGUGGAUAACCUACCUAUAAGACUGGGAUAACUUCGGGAAGCCGGAGCUAAUACCGGAUAAUAUAUAGAACCGCAUGGUUCAAUAGUGAAAGACGGUUUUGCUGUCACUUAUAGAUGGAUCCGCGCCGCAUUAGCUAGUUGGUAAGGUAACGGCUUACCAAGGCGACGAUGCGUAGCCGACCUGAGAGGGUGAUCGGCCACACUGGAACUGAGACACGGUCCAGACUCCUACGGGAGGCAGCAGUAGGGAAUCUUCCGCAAUGGGCGAAAGCCUGACGGAGCAACGCCGCGUGAGUGAUGAAGGUCUUCGGAUCGUAAAACUCUGUUAUUAGGGAAGAACAAAUGUGUAAGUAACUAUGCACGUCUUGACGGUACCUAAUCAGAAAGCCACGGCUAACUACGUG
rnacentral:rRNA from 1 species